rnacentral:lncRNA from 1 species
CUCAUGUCUAGUGUUGGGGUUUUUGUUAGAUACUCUAUGCCUCUUGGGGGAGCAUUGUUAAAUUUCAUUUAAACUAUACAUGCAUACAGAGGUUUUCAUGCAUUAUAGGUAUUUUAGAUGGAUAGUCAUCAGUAUGUGAUUCUUUAUGAAUUUUUCAGAUACUCAUUGUUAUUUAACCCCCUCCUCUUUCUGUACUUAUUACCCUCCCACUCUCUAUUUAAAGUACCCUGUUUUCCCCAUUUCUCCCUUCAGAUAACUGCUAUACCCCACUCUAUUGCUCCCUACCCAUGCAGCCAGCCAAUAGUCGGUUUCUAGUUUCCUGCUAUCUAUAGUCAUUUCAGGGUAUGUACUCACAUCUGAAAAUUUAGAGCUAUGAGCCUCUGGUAAGAGAGAACAUGUAACAUUUGUCUUUCUGGGUUACUUCACUCAAGAUGAUCUUUUCUAGUUCCAUCAUGUAGCUGCAAUUUUUAUGAUUUCCCUUUUCUUUACAGUUGAACUGUAUUUCACAGUAUAUAUUUGUAGCACAAUAAAUAAAAGACCCAGAGACUGAUAUUGGGGUUCAAGCUUCAAGCUGAAGAUCAGAGAAGCAAAGCAGCCAAGCCACUAGCUCUUACCUCUACCAAUGCUCAGACCAAAGGGGUCAUCUUCAGACUGCUCCUGACUUCACUGCUCCUCAGAUUCACUCAGUACUCCUGUAUUUAUUCAAAAUCAUCUCCUGAAGAGAGGAUUUAUUGGAAGCCACAGAACAACAAGUAUUGCGAGACUCUUCUUAUAUGAGGAGAAACUGCGGCCAGCCUACCCAAGCCGCAAUUGCCCUGCCCCCAGUGCCCAGGCCAGCCCGCAUGCGCAUUGAGCAUGUGCAGUGGGCACUGCCUCCCUGAGCCAAGCCACCAAACCUGCCUAGAGGCUCAGAGACUACUGAUGGAGAGACACCUAACCCAGAGACACCAAUGAGGAAAGGACAACUCAACAGAGUCAGCAGCCUGAGCCAAUAGGACCUUGGGAGGGGGUAUAAAGACCUUCAUCUUUGCCUUUUGUUGCUGGUGGUGCAUUGUCGGAUCCUACGCUGGUGAACUUUCACUUUAUCUAUCUUCAUCCUUCGGACUCCUCUUCACUCAACAUAGUGUGUUUCGGCACCCCUUCUUCAUGACUUGUUCGGCCAGCACCCAGGAGCAUGCGCAUGUGCAGCAGGCACUUCCUCCCUGAGCCAAGCCACCAAGCCUGUCUGGACGCCCAGAGACUGCUGAUGGAGAGACACCUGACCCAGAGACACCAAUGAG